rnacentral:tRNA from 1 species
UGGGGUUGUAGCUUUGUGGUACAGCAUUUGCCUAGCCUGCAAAAGGCCCUGGGUUCUAUUCCCAGCACUGCAA